rnacentral:rRNA from 1 species
ACCCUGCGGGAGGCAGCAGUGGGGAAUUUUACGCAAUGGGGGAAACCCUGACGUAGCGACACCGCGUGAGCGAAGAAGCCCUUUGGGGUGUAAAGCUCUGUCAGCUGGAACGAAAACAAUGACGGUACCAGCAGAGGAAGCAUCGGCUAACUACGUGCCAGCAGCCGCGGUAAGACGUAGGAUGCGAGCGUUGUCCGGAUUUAUUGGGCGUAAAGAGUUCGUAGGUGGUUUGUUAAGUUUGGUGUUAAAGAUCGGGGCUCAACCCUGGGACUGCACUGAAUACUGGCAGACUCGAGUGUGGUAGAGGCUAGUGGAAUUCCCAGUGUAGCGGUGAAAUGCGUAGAUAUUGGGAAGAACACCGGUGGCGUAGGCGACUAGCUGGGCCAUAACUGACGCUGAGGAACGAAAGCCAGGGGAGCGAAUGGGAUUAGAAACCCCGGUAGUCCCAUGA